GAGUUUCACGCUUUAUCUGCAUGUUUGCUUCUAAAGCCAGUCCAAGCAAGAAUUCUUGGACAAGAUGGAAGGCGCUGGGGUGAAAGCUCAAAGUGCCCUGCAGAGAAAAUCUGUUCUUAUUCUGUGUUUCCUCCCAGAAGCACCGAAGGUAAGUAAGGCUCAUCAGUGGUGGGGACCAAGCUCCCAGAAUUUCCGAGGGAGGUGAGCGAGUGCAGGGCACAGGGCGGGCAGGGACCCUGGGAAUCUUGGUUCCGAGGAAGUUCAGUCGGUCAGCUUACCAGUGCAGCCAGCAUUAAACCAAGAAGGAUAAUGGAAGUAGGCGUGCUCAAGUCUGCCUUGACUCUCUUAUUUUGGAAACCUACCUGAGCAUUUCCCCCCUCACGGCUUCUCCUUAAUAAUUAUUCCAGCUCAUCCAGAUUGUCCUUACUAAGACUAGGCUGGUGUCAUGUGCUUGUGACCUGUGCAGUUGUAGUCAUGAAAUUCUCAAUUAUUUUGUCUUGGAACCUGUUUUUUUAAGUACAUGAAGUCGACAGGACAGUGAAGUAUGCACGUGAGCAGAAGAAAUACAUGCAAUGCCCCUACCUGCUGCUGACCUUGGCUCCCAUGUACACACAGCUCUGGGGGUGCGUGCUGCAGGGGUUUUCCUUUACCUAGAAUAAUACUAAAUAGCAAAUUCAAAACACUGCCACAAGUCAGGAGAGACACCAUGGAAGAGAAGAUAAAACUUUAUUUUUAGUGUCUUUAGUGACACUUUUCCUGGCUUUUUGAACAAAGCACCUUUCAUUUUCAUGUCCUACGAGGCCCUACAAAUUAUAUAUACCCUGAUUAAGGCAUUUGUCUGAGCGCUCUUCCCUGACCAUAAUUUCCCAUGUGGCAGACACUAAGAUUCACUACUACUCACCUCCAGGUGACAUGCACAGAGAGAGCUGUUGUUGCAUAGAAAACAGCUACCAAUUUAAUUGCACGAGAAAGCAAUCCAGGGCCUCCAUUUUGAGCACUCAGGUAAAACCCAGACAGGGGACCUUGGCAGAGUCGGAGGUUUCCCACCUGACGCUGGGCCUUGGGAACUUCAUGCUUGUAAGAGCCCACGUGAUAGUUGGGUCUGCAGACGGUCAGAGUGAGGGGCACAUGCCGUCACGGGGAGACCAAGGCGAGGGGCAAGGUCACCCUUCCUGAAUGCAGGCGACAAGUGUCCAGAGAACCUGCUGCCCCUAAAGGCAGGUGGUCUAAGAAGAUGUGGAAGUGGAGCAUGGUGAUACCACCACUCACUAGAAAAGGGGGGCCGACGGACCAGAUGGGCUGCUCCCUCCCCUUCCUGCGAGCAGGAACGAGUAAGUGGGUGAGACGACACAAGUGCCUCUCCAGGUCUUUCCCAGGACAGAGGAGACAGCCACGAGUGCUGGUGGUUCCCUUUUAGGGAAAGAGGCCCAUGUUUCUUCCUACAAAGACCUGAAGUCAUCCAUACUGUGAAUAGUGUGUGUCUACAAUUUACUGGGGUUGAAAAACAAAGCUGCCUUCCGUUCUGCUUGUUGCAACUGGAGUCUUCGGAGCAUGGCCUUUCUUUCUGGGCACGAGGUCUUGGUGGUAGAAAAAAUAAAUUGGCAAUCACGCAGAACUGACUGCCCAGAUUUUCCCCAUGGAAGGGAACUGAGAGCAUGAUGCUGAAUAAAGCACCCAUCCCAGGAAAGGCCACCCAUGGGUUUGGGUUUGGGUUCUUCAACUGCACGGAGUACUUUCCAGGUUAAUGUGGCUUUGCACCCUGAGAAUAACAAUAAGAGUCAGACACAUGUCAUGGUGGGGCCUCGUAGAUUCACCUGGAAGAGGGCAGGGGACCUGAUUCCUCCAGGGAUGGUGCAGGGAACAGGGGGGACAGUCUGAAGUCUCAUCUCAGAGAUUAGUUACCAUCAAUUUUUAGUUCUUUGCUCUCCUACUCAAGAUAAGUUCCUCCCUUCCUGAUGGCUCUGCUGAGGCUUCCACUUUGGUGCAAAGGCCUUGGGAGGUGUAGGGGGGGGGGUUGGGUGGUGCAGAGAGGGAUGCUAGGGCUCACUCACCCCUGGAGAAUUGACUUCUGUCAGUGGGCUCAGUUUCCUUCUGCUUUGGAGGAUCAGUAUAGGUGCUGACCCUCUUCUCUUUGUCUGACAUGGGCAGUGCAGUGAAAAGCAGUUUCUGGCCACCUGGAGGAAGGGCCACCUGAAGCCACACCUGUCCAGGAAGCUGAGUUUUGAAUGGGGACAGGGUGCGAGAGGGCAUUCGUAAUAUCCUGUGUUGGCCCGCUGAGGUCCCUCUUUCAGCUGCCACUUAAGAAUGGAAUGUGCUCCAGAGGGCAGCAGGUGGGAAGACACAAAGGCCCCUUGUCUGAGCUCGUGCCCACAUGUGGGGUCUCCUAGAAGGCAUCUCCAGAGGGCUGGAGCUCAUGGCCCUGAGGCCAGCCACAGACAGAUGCUAGGCCUGGCCCUCGAGCAGGGUAAAGGGUACAGCCAGAAAGGAGGUGAGGCUGGAGGGCUGGGCGUGUGAGCGCUGGUGGGGGGGUGGUGGGGGAGGAGUGGACCCAGCCUAUUCUUUCUCCACCCUCUUGCAUUUGCUCCUCUGACAGGGCUGGAGGGAUCGGUUCUCUCUGCCUGGAAGGAAUGAAAAGGCGUAUUGUGCAAUGAUGGAGAGUCUGGUUGCCAGCCAGGAUUCAGUGCUGCAAAGGAGAGGAGAAAGGCAGAGCAAGAGGAGGCAGGGCAAGGAGGCCCGGAGAGAUAGCGGGAGGAAGGGAGGAGGGAGAGAGGCCAGGCUGUAGCCGGUCACAGCCGGCUGGCUGGGACAGGGUGGCCUGGGUUGUUGAGGCUCCUGGGUCCACAGGUGUGGGGCCUGAGGGGAGAAGGGGGGUCAGAAGGGAGGGAGGCGCUGUUAUCUUACCCAGAUGCACGUGCUUCUGCAAGGCAGAGGGUCAGAACUUCAGACUAUUUAUUUAAUCCCUUGGAAUGUCCUUCCCUCGCUCUGAUCUUUGGGCCCCUUGUGUUUCACGAACCCCUUUACAGGCACAUGUGUGGUAAUUAACACGUGCAGCGUGGGUCCUGGCCAUGUGUUUGAGUUUCAAAUAUCCAUUGAUCUGGGGCGCUCCCAUCCUGGCCACCCCUCCCCUUCUGCUCCAUUGGUCCUCGCCCUUGAGGAGCGAUGGAAGGGGCCUGUGUGUGUUUGGAGGGUGGGGGACACAUGUGCAUCCACAUGUAUUUUAUUGAGGCUCCAGAGGAAUGUCAGAGCAGGGGAACAGGCCCCCAGCAGCCCCCUAAGCUUUGAUGAUCUGCUGCUGCUAAACCAGUUGAAAGCCGCAGAAGUUGCAGUAGAGGUGAAUUUUUGGUUACAACCAAAGGAGUCUGAAGAAUGGCUGGGAGGCAAAUGUCUUUAGAGAUCAUGCAUGUAUCCCAAGUAGCUUUUCCUGGCUGUCCAGGACUUGUGGCUUUUCCUGUGGUGCCUUUUUGGGGAGUCUUGAUGAUAAUGAAUGUGUGUGAUUUCGGGAGCCUUUGGGAGAACUGAACACAGACAGGACUGGUCCUGGGCUUCAUCGCUUGUAAGGUGUCAGAGGGAAGUUCUCAGCUUCCAGCAGGGUGAUGGGGGAUGAGGGCGGUGGGUGGCGUGGUGAAAAUGAUUACAUGAAAGAAUAAGGGGAGAACAUUUAUAAAAUGAUCACUGGCAGUUGUCUGGGAGUUUUUUUUUCUUCUGAGUACCCAGGAUUUUAGAGACUUUGGGGUGCUGCUUCUAUAAAUGGAAAGUGAGUUUUGGGGCCAUCAGGAGUUUUCUGUGGGUUGCCCUUUUCCUACUUGUAAGAAGUGUGGGAGUUAGCCAUUUAAGGAAAGUGAGGUGAAAAAUUAAAAACAUGAGCAGACUUUGCAAACAUUUUUUUGCACGGGCUUCUGUGUUUGUCAAGCCAGUCUUGGAAAGGGGCUGAAUUUCCAAAACCCGACUCACCUUUACUUUGCAGAGACUGUGGUUUUAGUUUUGCUUUGUUGUUUGUUUGUUUUUUUAAAUCCUUCCCUGGCUGCUCCAAUAGUAUGUGCUCUAGGUAAAGAGUGAGUCACAGUCAUUUCCCUCUUUUUGUCCCUAUCUUUAGAACUUCUCAUGGAGGCUGGUCUAGAGAUUGGUACCAACUUGGAGUCUUGUCACUCAAGUGAUGGACUGGGCAGUGCCCUCAGUGGUGCUGAGGGGUGUGCUUAGGGUAGGGGUGAUGGACGGCAGGCACCCCAGAGGAAGGGAACUGUGUGGCUGCCAGCCUCAGCCCUCCUAGUUAGCACACCUGAAGGAGGCUUGCCUCAUUGCCCUGAGCCUGGCUGAGGUGUGCAGGCUGGCUGUCUCAGGACACUGUACCUGUAAGUCUGGUUACCCGCCAGCAGGGGCUGGAGUUGCAUGGAGAUGGGCAGCUGAUGACCUGUACGGGUUGGCUUCUGCACACACUGAAUUUCCCUGUGGAGAUGCAUUCUCAUUCUGAUACUGGGCCUGCUGAACAGAGAGGCCCAAUGGCUCCAAGCCCAUGAGAGGCAGCUCUUUGCUCCCUGCACACAUUUUGCUGCUGCUCGCUGGUGCUCUGAACCACCCCGACCAAGCCUGGCAUAUCUGUGUGCCAGCUUUGCAGAGAUUAUUUGAAGAAGAGGUUGGCACAAGUGUGCGUGAGCACUCACGCAUGCUCCCUCCUUCCCACUGUUAAGUACUCCCCCAGCUUGGCUCCACCUGUUCAACCCCCUGCCCUUCAUUGUGCACCCUUAUUCUGGGGUCCCCAAAAGGAAGCUUAUGCAUGGAAGAUACAAAAUUAAGAGUUUGAAUCCCGGCCAUAUCCACAUUUCCAAGAACUGGAGAAAACAAAUGGAGUAUAGUGAUCUGGAAGAGCCUCCUAGUCAUAGAUUCUUAUGUAUCCCUGGUGUUAUUGGUAACCAGUGAUUUUUUAUCUGGUUCUUUUAUUCUUUAAUUCAGCAAAUACUUAUUGAGAACUUACUGAGUGCCAGGCUUGUUACUGUCACCAAGGACCCAGUGACAAGUAAACUGAUAAGAGUCCCAGCCUCACCUUGUAGGGCUCA